rnacentral:rRNA from 1 species
UUAGCCAUGCAAGUCUCAGUACAUGCCGCACUAAGGUGAAACCGCAAAAGGCUCAUUAAAUCAGUUAUGGUUCCUUGGAUCUUAAACAGUUACUUGGAUAACUGUGGUAAUUCUAGAGCUAAUACAUGCAAACAAGUCCCGACCAGAGAUGGGAGGGACGCUUUUAUUAGAUCAAAACCGAUCGGCGUCCGGCUCCGGCCGGCGCCGUCUCUUUUGGUGACUCUGGAUAACUUUUAGCCGAUCGCACGGUCACAGUACCGGCGACGCAUCUUUCAAAUGUCUGACUUAUCAACUGUCGAUGGUAGGCUCUGCGCCUACCAUGGUUGUAACGGGUAACGGGGAAUCAGGGUUCGAUUCCGGAGAGGGAGCCUGAGAAACGGCUACCACAUCCAAGGAAGGCAGCAGGCGCGCAAAUUACCCACUCCCGGCACGGGGAGGUAGUGACGAAAAAUAACGAUACGGGACUCAUCCGAGGCCCCGUAAUCGGAAUGAGUACACUUUAAAUACUUUAACGAGUACCAAUUGGAGGGCAAGUCUGGUGCCAGCAGCCGCGGUAAUUCCAGCUCCAAUAGCGUAUAUUAAAGUUGUUGCGGUUAAAAAGCUCGUAGUUGGAUCUGUGUGCCACGCUGUCGGUUCACCGCCCGUCGGUGUCAACUGGCAUGUCUGUGGGACGUCCUGCCGGUGGCGGUACGGGCUGCCGGCGCUGCGUAGGGGCACAACCCCGAAGCACGCCGGCGUGUCCCGGUCCGCCGAUCCAAUCCCGCCGCGGUGCUCUUCACUGAGUGUCGAGGUGGGCCGGCACGUUUACUUUGAACAAAUUAGAGUGCUCAAAUCAGGUCGUCUUUAGGCCUGAAUACUGUGU